GAUCCCGUCUAGCUCCACCAAUUAGGACACCGCCCUUUCACGGCGGUAACAGGGGUUCGAGUCCCCUAGGGGACGCCA
rnacentral:tRNA from 1 species